rnacentral:rRNA from 1 species
GACGAACCGAGCGAACGUUGUUCGGAAUCACUGGGCUUAAAGGGCGCGUAGGCGGGUGCUCAAGUCUGUGGUGAAAUCCUCCGGCUCAACCGGAGAACCGCCAUGGAUACUGGGUGUCUCGAGGGUGGUAGGGGUAUGCGGAACUAUCGGUGGAGCGGUGAAAUGCGUUGAUAUCGAUAGGAACUCCGGUGGCGAAGGCGGCAUACUGGACCACUUCUGACGCUGAGGCGCGAAAGCCAGGGGAGCGAACGGG